CCUACGGGUGGCAGCAGUGAGGAAUAUUGGUCAAUGGACGCAAGUCUGAACCAGCCAUGCCGCGUGCAGGAAGACGGCUCUAUGGGUUGUAAACUGCUUUUAUACGGGAAUAAACGCAGAUACGCGUAUCUGUCUGAAAGUAUCUUACGAAUAAGGAUCGGCUAACUCCGUGCCAGCAGCCGCGGUAAUACGGAGGAUUCAAGCGUUAUCCGGAUUUAUUGGGUUUAAAGGGUGCGUAGGCGGUCGGAUAAGUUAGAGGUGAAAUCCUGAGGCUAAACUUCGGAAUUGCAUUUGAUACUGUUCGGCUAGAGAGUAGUUGAGGUAGGCGGAAUGUAUGGUGUAGCGGUGAAAUGCUUAGAGAUCAUACAGAACACCGAUUGCGAAGGCAGCUUACCAAGCUACCUCUGACGUUGAGGCACGAAAGCGUGGGGAGCAAACAGGAUUAGAUACCCUAGUAGUC
rnacentral:rRNA from 1 species